rnacentral:lncRNA from 10 species
CACGCCUGUAAUCCCAGCACUUUGGGAGGCCAAGGCGGGUGGAUCACCUGAGGCCAGGAGUUCGAGACCAGCCUGGCCAGCAUGGCAAAACCCCAUCUGUACUAAAAAUACAAAAAUUAGCUGGGCAUGGUGAUGGGUGCCUGUAAUACCAGCUACUAGAGAGGCUGAGGCAGGAGAAUCGCUUGAACUCAGGAGGCAGAGGUUACAGUGAGCCAAGAUUGCACCACUGCACUCCAGCCUGGGUGAUAGAGCAAGACUCUGUCUCAAAAAAAAAAAAUUAUAAAAAAAGGGGGUCUUGCUUUGUCACCCAGGCUGGUCUUCCAACUCCUGACCUCAAGUGAUCCUCCUGCCUCGGCUUCCCAGCGUUGGGAUUACAGGCGUGAGCCACUGCUCCCAGCUUCAUCCCUCUGUUUUCUGUUUGUUUGUUUUUUG